GACGUAGGGUGCGAGCGUUGUCCGGAUUUACUGGGCGUAAAGGGCGCGUAGGCGGCCAUCUAAGUCAGACGUGAAAUCCCCCGGCUUAACCUGGGAACUGCGUCUGAUACUGGCGAGCUUGAGUGCAGGAGAGGAACGCAGAAUUCCAGGUGUAGCGGUGAAAUGCGUAGAUAUCUGGAGGAACACCGGUGGCGAAGGCGGCAUCCUGGACCAACACUGACGCUGAGGAGCGAAAGCCAGGGGAGCAAACGGG
rnacentral:rRNA from 1 species